CACGUAGGCACCAAGCGUUGUCCGGAUUUAUUGGGCGUAAAGAGCUCGUAGGCGGUUCGGUAAGUCGGGUGUGAAAACUCUGGGCUCAACCCAGAGCCGCCACCCGAUACUGCUGUGACUCGAGUGCGGUAGGGGAGCGGGGAAUUCCUGGUGUAGCAGUGAAAUGCGUAGAUAUGCGGAGGAACACCGAUGGCGAAGGCAAUCCCCUGGACCUGUACUGACGCUCAUGCACGA
rnacentral:rRNA from 1 species